UAAAAUAUGUGAUAAUAAAACAAAGAUUGAUAUCUCCAAUGCAAAAAUAUGCAUUAUUGUACAUGUGACAAGUAAAUCAUAAGACUCAGAGACAUCUCCAAUGGGAGUGUGAAUUGCACUACUUGAGAAUAAAUUCUUUGAGAGGAUGUGGAAAAAGGGUGACGCAUCCUACACCGUUCAAGCAAGCAUUCUGAGGUGAUGUACACUUCUUACCUCAAUCCACUGCCCCAUAUCAAAACAAAACUCACUUAUCCAACUCGGGCAAAAUUUAAAUAGCAAAAAUUACUGAAGUCAGAAACAUAGUAACCGUGCUGACAUUUGCAACCACAAAAUGUUAGAAGAUCGCUGCUUAGCAAAAUGCUUUACAGAAAGUGAAAACACAAGCCUCCAUAAUCAAUGAACAACCUAUCAAGGUGCAACUACAACAAUUCUUCCUGCAACUUGAUCAAGAUCCCGCCGGCCACUGGAUGUGAUUUUUCUACCACUGUAAAAGGAAUAGCAAUUCGUAUGAGAAUAGAACCGACAAUAUUCACAACAUAUCUUGAAAAAGAGUGAGUAUAUAAUCAAAGGAAAAGGAACUCCUAAAGACACAUACUUCCCGAUUACAAACAGAGUGAAAUAUUGGAUUGAUAAAAUAUACUGUACUGGUGCACAUAAAGACCAACAAACAAAUUGCAUUCAGCACAACUGAAAUAAAUAUAGACUACUACAAUAACGAAGCAGGGUCGAACUCCUAGAGGUGUCGACUGUUUGGGACUUUACAUUUACUCGAAUUUUGAAAUUACAUAAAUUGCACCUACUGCAGCAAAGAGGAAGAUGCAAGGAGGAAGAAUUCAUGAAAAAGGUGCAAGAAAUAAUGGAGGAAGAGGAGAAGUUGCGGAUACCAGUUGCUCAAGGUCUUCCAUGGACAACAGAUCAACCAGAGGUAACUUUAUAACCCGGAGAAAAGAAUUCUCAAUUCUAUUUCGGAAAUAUUAGGAAUCGAGAUUAGUAUGGAAUUUUUUUGUCAAGUUAACAGGCCUAGUAAUUUUGAAUUCUUUUCCGAUGUUUAGAUCUUCUUUCAUUUCUCCCCCUUUUAGGGCCAAAUUCUAAUAUUCAUGUUAAUAUUAAUUCUCUACCAAAGUUUGGAGACAAAUAGAUAUUCAGGCAAACCAGAUUUUUAUGACUUCUAAUCAUCAUUUUCAGCAAGUUUUUUGUUUGGAAAUGAAGGCAAAGUCAUUACAAAAGAAUGUAGUAACUUAACAUUGAAGGAAUUUUGUUUUGGUGUCUUCAACAGUUAAUCAUGGACUUCUCAUCCAACGAAAAUUUGAGGCCUGACUAGUUGCCAAUUGACGUAAUGAAAAGGCUACCAUUUUUUGUUGUUUCCCCAUGUCAAUCGAUUGUUAAGAAACUCGCAGAUUUGCAUUUUUCACUAACCACAACCUAGGUUUGAAGCUUAAUGAAAACUUUUGUGUAGUGUAGCUGUGUAAUAAUGUAUGCAGAAAUGUGAGGAUCAUUAUCUUGUAAUCCUUAGCUUAGUAGACAUGAUACUUCUUACAAGUAAUUAUUAUUAGGAACCUUUUGUAACUUCCCAGUAGAAUUCAUAUCAAAAUUCAGCACACUGUUUUUGGCAGUUGGUCCUCCAAGGUUUAGAACAAUAUGAUACAAUUGUUAGGUAACAUGAUGCUGGUCUUUGGUAAAAAAGUCAGUGCUAAUUUCAAAUGUUUUUGACCUUCUGGUGGUUAAGUACCUAAAUGCAUACCAAACAUUCAUUUUGUAUCAAGAUUUGACUGAAUUGUUUUAACCCGUGAUGUCUCAGUUUUUGGUGAAGCCAUUAGUCAAAGAUAAUACAAGGCCUGUUGAUCUCAUGCUACACAGCGACAUUAGAGCUGUUGAACGUGCUGAGUUUGAUCAUCAGGUACAUUUUUCCCUUCUUGACUAAGCUUGGUUACUUUCAUUCUCAUAUUGUGACAUUACUUUGUUUCUUUGCAUCUGUUUAGGUGGCCGAUAAGAUGAGCCUUAUUGAACAAUUCAAGAUGGAAAGAGAGAGACAGCGAAAGGUAAACUAAAAAUUUUGAGACUAAACUUACAAUUGAUUCUUAUGUUGUAUUUUUCUAAACGACGGUGUUGGCAGUUGGCUGAAGAAGAAGAAAUUAGGAGGCUGAGGAAGGAACUCGUUCCUAAAGCUCAACCGAUGCCAUAUUUUGACAGGCCAUUCUUCCCUAGAAGGCAAUGUGACCUUGUUCUUUCAUCGAUGUGCAUUUAUUCUAAACUAAACUGAAUACUGAAUUCUGAAGUAGUCAUCUUUGUUGUAUCAGGUCGGUGAAGCAUCUAACUAACAAGUCUAUGGAGCCAAAGGCGAAUGCAUAAAGGCGAGAAGAUCAAGAGUUGGAUGUUUCAAAUAACUUGUUUGUAUAAACACAGCUGCAGUGAACAAUGGGCAUUGUGAAGUUGAGAUUUUAGUUUGUUUAACGACGAUUAAUGACACAAUUUGUUACAAAUCUAUAAAUAUGUCAAAAUUAAUUUUGAAAAACAGUGCAUUUUCUCAAAUUUUUUAAAUAUUUAUAUGUUUAUUGUUAACAGUUUGACCCGAGUUACCAUCAAGUAAGAUAACAUUCAUCUAGUUGAAAACUUUAAAAUUGUCUAGGUUUUGAAAAUUUUAAAAUUGUCUAUUUGUUAAAAUUAAUUAGUAAUUGUAGUGUUUAUAUGAUUUUAGUUAUUUCGUAUGCAUUAUUUUAUUUAAUUUGUUAAAUACUUUUGAUACUUCUAAAAAUUGAGUAAUCUAUGUCGUUUUACUGAAGUUGCAACUCCAAUUUGAGUGGCACUAGAUGCUAAGUUAAAUAAAAGAUAAAAUUAAAUAUGUUAUUUAAUUCUACCUAUCAAUUAAUGCCACGUUAAUGUCACAUAAACUGGGGCUGCAACUAUUAGCACUACUCUUAAAAAUUAUAUGCCCUUUUCAAACCUCCAAAUGAAAGUUCAAUGGUGUCACAGCCAUGAAUUAAAAGUUCAAUAACCUGAUUUUAAGUAAAGUUAAAAUUCAGUAACCACGAAUAAACUCUACUUUGCUGACUUUACAUGAUGCAUGAAGAUUUUGUCACCAUCAACACCAAUUCUUUUCAGCAGUUGAAAGAAAGGCUAAUGGAAUAACCUAAUUGCUCCCACAAUGAAAUUUACCCACUUAGUGUCAUGUUACUGAGAUAUAUUAAGGCUUCAUUAUCACAAACUUUUUGAAUUACAAGUUGAUGGAACACAUGAAAUGUAUAAUUAAAAAGUUAAUAAAAAAUCGUAAAUCCAAUAAAAUAUGUGAUAAUAAAACAAAGAUUGAUAUCUCCAAUGCAGCAAUAUGCAUUAUUGUACAUGUGACAAGUAAAUCAUAAGACUCAGAGACGAGCAUCUCCAAUGGGAGUGUGAAUUGCACUACUUGUGAAUAAAUUCUUUGAGAGGAUGUGGAAAAAGGGUGACGCAUCCUACACCGUUCAAGCAAGCAUUCUGAGGUGAUGUACACUUCUUACCUCAAUCCACUGCCCCAUAUCAAAACAAAACUCACUUAUCCAACUCGGGCAAAAUUUAAAUAGCAAAAAUUAC
rnacentral:lncRNA from 1 species